rnacentral:sRNA from 3 species
AUAUCUCUCUGUACGGGAAGGAUGAGAAGCUUCGACUAAGGUUCGAUUCGAGCGCAGCGAGAAAGCGUUGCCGCAGGCAACGACCCGAAG